rnacentral:rRNA from 1 species
ACCGGAGGAAGGUGGGGAUGACGUCAAGUCAUCAUGGCCCUUACGGCCAGGGCUACACACGUGCUACAAUGGUCGGUACAAAGGGUUGCCAAGCCGCGAGGUGGAGCUAAUCCCAUAAAACCGAUCGUAGUCCGGAUCGCAGUCUGCAACUCGACUGCGUGAAGUCGGAAUCGCUAGUAAUCGUGAAUCAGAAUGUCACGGUGAAUACGUUCCCGGGCCUUGUACACACCGCCCGUCACACCAUGGGAGUGGGUUGCUCCAGAAGUAGCUAGUCUAACCGCAAGGGGGACGGUUACCACGGAGUGAUUCAUGACUGGGGUGAAGUCGUAACAAGGUAGCCGUAGGGGAACCUGCGGCUGGAUCACCUCCUUA